UUCAAAAUGCUUGUCCUGAAAAAGGAUUAAAAUGAAUUGCCCUUGUAGUAGAAAUCCUUAUUCGUCAACAUAACAAACAACAUAAGAAGGCUAAGUUGCUUGACAAGUGAACCUCAGUUCUGACUUGGGCUUCCAUAGGUAGGUCUAUCUCCUUGCCAUUCAAUCUGCUGCUUCCCCCUGCCCUACACACACUGCUGCCUCUGACACACAGGCAGCAUCUGCAGGGGAGGCGGGAGUAACCAUGAAGAUUAACCAAUAAACCCAAGAUCACCAGUUAGUGUACAUGUUUAAACAGCUAUCACAUCCUUAACUACCAUUUAAUUUGCUUUGUGUGUCAAAACAUGCAAGAAACCAUUAUUAAAAUAUUUUAUACUAUUUGUUCUAGUGGAAAGUCAAAGACAGGAACUCUACUCUCUCACGAAAUUUACCUAACAGUUAACUAAAAUAGGAAGACAGACUCAUGGAAUAAACUUCGCACCAAAAAUACACUCCUAUUUAAUACACUAACAUUAAAAAAAAUCCAAACAGCUUAAAUGCAAGGUUAAAGGAUUCUCUUUCUCGGGUUAAUUUUUGUAGUGCUUCAUAAAAGAGUACAUUUUCAUUCCCUAAAAGGGCAUGUCCUUAGUAAAAGCUCCUAGUCAAAGCAAAAAAUAUUCCAGUUAUUGUACUAGUUAUCUAAACUAAAACAUUGCCAUUGUAUCCAUCACGUCCUUGGCAUAAAACACAAUUACACUAUCCAUUAUUGCCAGUAUAAAAGCAAGUUAGCUUAAAAAACAUGUGGUGAACCCACAAGUCUGAAAAAAUCAUACGUUAGUUGAUAUUGCAUAACUCAAAAUAAACUUCUGAACAUCUAAUUUUCUCAGUCUGUAAAAUGGCUAUGACCUUCCAGGGCAAAGCUUAAUCAUGGAGUAUCUGAAAUACUCUAUGAUCCAUUAAUUGUGGGAAGUAUAGAAAUGCAAAGGAUUAUUAUUAGGAUAAGAAUUGUGAAUGAAUACACAGAUUAUAGUUGUUUUAACUAAGGAGUAUUUCCAGAGUUUUGUUAAAAAGAGGGAGAUACCAAAAAAGUAAUCAAGAGGGUCUUUCUUUUAUGCAAAGAACAUUUCUGGCUGUAAUUCUCAAGUUGAUAAAUCUUUUUUUUCCAUAUUUUAAUAAUUAAUGUUGUUAUUUAAACUUUGUAUGUAUGUUAGGAAAAAGAUUAAUGCUUCAGCUGUCGGUUGGAAUUCUUUUCAAAACUCUCAAACCAUUCUUCUCCCUAGCUCAAAGGGCUUGGAAUUCAUGGAAUUUACUACUUUAUAUUCCAAUAAACACUAACUACCCCAUCCUAACAAGCUUAGCAUCAGAACCCCUAUUUUAUAUGCAAAUAAACAAAUAUCCCUCUUUUCUUCACUCCCAUUCCCUCCACAUCCUGUGUACUACAAAAAUAAGUUUUUUAUAGUAAUGUAUUUGACUACUAGUGCAGAACUCCAUAUGAUCACAGCCCAAGAGAAUCACACUUCAUCUUCCCACAAAAAGCAUUAAAAUCCCCACCAACAUUAUGGCUCAAUCCUGCUACAAGACUCCUACACACUUUUUUAAAGCAAUAUCAGAGCAAAUCUUGCAGGUAAAAACCAUGAAAGAACUCAUUGCUUAUCCCAUACACAACACUCCCUCAAAGUUAUGUACUUAAUCCCACAAAGUGAGGUCCAAGACUGCAGUAAACACAUUGCAAACCUCCACAAGUAAGCUUUCUCUCUUUUUACUACUGUUUGUUGAAUCUUUGAAACUGACUAUUUCAUAUACCUAAAUCAGCACUGUACACAUAUGCAAGAUGCUUUCUAGCUACUCUUUUUCAGAUGGCAGUUUUCCUUUGGACUCUUCCUCUUUGGAAUCCUUAGAUAUGCUCCAAUAUUAGAGCAGAACCAUCUACCCAUUUUCUUGGGGAACAUGUUAAACAAUUUCUGACCCCUCCUGACAGUUGUAACGAGAGACUUGACUUCUACAUUGAUUGCUUCCAUUAACAUGUGCAGGCUGAUAUUGUCAGCAAACAACAUAUAACCUCAGUCAUGCAGAACUCAAUACUAUACACAGCCUUAAAAACAAUUCUAACAGCAUAGUCGAAGAGGCUGACAAAGGAGGUACUGUAGUCAUCAUGAACAGAAGGCUUGCAGACAACUCACUAAUACCAGAUUCUAUAGGCUCCUCUCCGCUGAUCCCUCAUACCGAAAAAAACCCUAAACCAUCUGCUUAUGAAACUUCCUGCUACAACUCAGGACCAAAGCUAUACAAACACACCUCCAAAUCCUCAAUCAGGAGUUUUCUAUCUACUGCCCAAGAUACACAAACCUAGAAAACCCGGACAACCCAUCAUCUCAAGCACUGGCACACUUACAGCAGGAUUAUCUGGUUAUAUUGACUCUCUCCUCAGACCCUAUGCUACCAGCAGUCUUAGCAAUCUUCAAACACACCACCGACCUCCCAAGGAAACUACAGAACAUUGGUGUUUUCAGGAAGAUUACUGUUCUGGUCACCAUGAAAGUAGAAGCUCUUUACACCAACAUUCUACAUGAAGACAGAUUACUGGCCAUGAGAAAUACUAUCCCUGAUGACUCCACUGUACACUUUAUUACAGAGCUCUGUGACUUCUUCCACUGGCUGCUGGCCCCACCCCUGGGUAUUAUACAGCAGUUGAGUAACUGAUAAGAAUUAAUGCGGUUACUCGACUAUUCAAUUAUUAAAAAAAUUAGGGAUGUUAGAUAUUGGCUAUCAUACCGGGUAAAUUUGCAACUUUAUGCAUUAAGCUGCUACACACAUUUUACCUUGAUACUACUGAUCACCAAGUUACAAGUUUUCAAAUGGUACCUCACAUGGCAUACCUUGUACAAAGAUAAUUACAACAGCAUACAAUAUAUAGAUGUGAACUUAAGGUGUAUUCCAUUACAACAUACAUCUGACUCCAGAAGAAAAAAGGGUAUGAAAUAAAGAUUAUUAAGCCUGUUUUUCCUCCCUUGCCAUCCUGGAGUCAAGUUGCUGACGGUUCCAGAAUCUAAAUGCCACAGAAACUACUACCAACUUUCUAAAUCUAUGCCACCCUAGAGGGAAGCAACAAGUGAUUCUUGGUUGGAAAAAAAAUUCUCUGAAAAUGAAGAAAAGAUACCUAAUGCAUGCUAAAGACCAAAAAAUGGAAGGAACUGCAGCAGCUGAUGACUGCAAUGAGCACUUAUACAUUUGGCUCAAAACAUUUGAUGCUGAGGAGAGCAGGUCACUCAAGUGGUCCCAACAGGCACUGUUUUUCUUGAAGAUGCCUGAAGCUCAAAAGCACUAAAGAGCUAGAAAGUAGAAAUAUGCAGAAGCUACAUCAAAGACUUUUUUAAAGCAUAAAAGAUAUUAGGCCAUAUAAAUAAACAACAAAUCAAAGUGGAACUUUUGAAUAGACCAUCAUGCAUUUCAAGUUGUCCACAAAGUUUCAGAGAUUUUAAAGGAACAACACUAUUUCCCCUCCCAUUUCAAAGGGUAUGUCUACACUACAAAUGUUACAUACAGCAGCACAGCUGCGGUGCUGUAGCUAUGCUACUUAGUUUAGAUGUUGCCACAAUGAUGGAAGUAUUUCCCCUCACAUCACUGUGAUGUAUGCAUGCGUACGUGUACACACACACACACACACACACACACACACACACACGACAACUCUUUCAGAGACCUGCAAGCAUCUUCACUAGGAUUGGGUCCACUUAAUUUAAUCUCUCAGGGUUUCACUCACCUGCCCCGGCACAGGCAGGAGCACCCAGCCCUGCCCUCCUGCCGCCGCCUUCCAGCCAGCGCGGCCGCGACUCAGGAGCCCCUGCGAACAACUCACAUGAAAGCGCGAGGCCUCCAGAGUGCGCGCGCGCGGACGCCCUACAGCUGAGUAUCAGCCGGGGCCUGAUGAAGUGUCGCCCCGCCCCUUCUCGCUCUGUGGGUUGGGCUCGACUUCCCUCCCGCUGCUGCUGACAGCGCAUGUUGGCGACGCGGAGGGUGGCUCAGGCCCCUGGAGCGCAAGGCGAAGUGGAGGAAGGGAAGCGGCUGUGGAGGGGCCCAGGCAAGGUGGCUUGCACCGUGGCCAGGCUGAGGCGUGUGGCAAGGCAGGAGUGUGGGGGAAACGGCAGAGUUAUUACAGCUCCUAGUGACUCCAAUAUGUGAAGAGAGGAUAUUCAUCCCACCUACAGAAAAAUUCUGCAUAUAAGCUAAUACAAUGAAGGGGGAGGUAACGGCAAAUAAUGGACUGAGUGACAUCAGACUGAAAAUGCAGAUACCAGACAGGAACGGAUGUACAGCUUGGCUAACAAACCCAGAGCCUGCAACGAGAAGUUGUUAGUAGUACUUUGCUAUAUCAUGGUAUUUAACAUUUACAAAAUUCACUGCAAAAUACACCAUUAAUGAAACAUCAUUGUUGAGAAUUUACAGUAUUUGCAAAGGACAGAGGAAAUUCAAACAGACUGCUACACCUUUUGGAUCUGACGAAGUGGGUCUUUGCCCACGAAAGCUUAUGCUCCAAUAAAUCUGUUAGUCUAUAAGGUGCCAUAGGACUCCUCAUCAUUUUUACACCUUCACCUGUUACAGAAUGCUCAGCAGGUCAGGUUGCUAUGUGCAACUCAUUGUGCUGCUACAAUCACUCGGCUGGCUUGUCAUUUUGACAGCUCAAUUUAAGGUCUCCAUCCUCACAUUCAAACUCUCAGUGGAAUUAGCUCAAACAACUUAAGAGAUUGCCUCUCCCUGAGUGUUUGAGCUGCUGUCCACCAGAAAUCUGAGACCAUCAGUGCAUAACUCCAAGAGCUUAUCAAAUAGCUGGUAGCAUCUAAAUUUCAAAUCUGGAACUCAAAUAGAGGGUAGUGAAGGAAAAGGAAUUGAGCAUGCUAGCUGUAAUCAGUGGUUAGUGGCAAUGUGAUAUCAACUGCACAUUUUUAAAAAAAAAAUUUUAUUUUUAAAAUAUAAGUUUGGAAAUAGGAUGAGCGGGCAAAGAGAUGAUGUAACAGAAGUCUAGGAAUAGGAGGACAAAGAAGGAAGGUAAAAAAAUACUGAAAAUGGAAGGAAUGAAAGGGAGAGAAAUACAGGAAGGAUGGAUGGGUGCACUGAUGUGUGUUUUCCAGGUAUAAAAGGAAUCAUUGGAGGGUAGUUCCUGGCAGAAUAUCAGUAUCACUCAGUCAACUGAAGCAGCAAUCCAUGGUUAAUGGAUUCACAGGCUACUGAGAGGUCCAACAUGAGAAUAAAUGCCAGUUAACCUCAGAUUAACCAAAGAUCAUUCAUAACUAUGACAAGUGUCAUCUCAAUAGAAUGCUGGAAUUCAGAAUGGAAUCUGCCAGGGCGAUGGUAGCCACAUGCAUGUGGAAUUGUCAAACUCUGUCUUCUCAACCACCUCCCCAAAGGUGGUGAAGCGUAAGAUCAUGCAGGAUUGAACAGCAAGUCCUCCAGCAUAAAAAGAAAGCAUCUAGAAGAAGAAUUAGACUUCAGUGUGUUUAAGAAUUGUCAGCACUCACUUCAUUGUACAAUGAAGUAUUAGCAAUGCCUCUCAAUAUUGACACAAGAGCUACCACAUGUGCUCUGAGACUUUGGUAUACAUUGGGAUCAGGACCACAAGUGGUGGACCUCAAGAAACUGAGAAGAUAUUAAGAUGCAACUGAAGAAUCAUUUACUGCUGGUGAUGAAGCACAAAAACCAGAAACCAAGUUUGUUUUCAGAAAAAAUAAUAUAUGUUUACUUAUACUAGGGGACUUAACUUCCUGCUCACUACGCUCACCAACCCCCCUCUCUCUGGCCAUUUUUGCUUCUUUGAGAGAGCCUGUUGAUGCUGUUGACAUGAUGAUGUCAUUUUGUUGCCCAGCAGGAAAAUUCUGUCGUCCGUCAGAAAAAACUUUUUAUAUAGAGAGAGGUGGUGCCAGAGCCUUUUACCUGCUGCAAAGAGGGGUAGGAGUGAGGAAACCGCCAGCAUGGCAAGCAGGGAGCUUGGUGCGUCCCGCUGCUGUGCUCACCCCCA